CUUUAUACUACCAGGGGGAUGUCGGUACAAGCAGAGGAUCUCAUUCAGAACAUAGAAGACUGUGAAAUGUGACCACUGCUCACCAUGGAAUGGGACAUUUCUGUCACCUCUCCUCUCUCUUCUGUAAUAGCAAUAUCUGUCUGCUGUAUGCUGGAUAAUAAUCUUAUACCAGAAAAUUGCAGAGAUGUAACAAAAUCCAGUCGAG
rnacentral:lncRNA from 1 species